CAACGCGCACUACGCAAGCCUCUUACAUCCGACCCUGCGCUCUUAGAGUUCCGGGGGUCGUGGGAUUUACUUCCGGCAGCAAGCGUUGGACCAUGGCUCCCCUCCUCCGAGCUGUGCUGAGGUUGCAGGGACCAGCUGCACAGGCAAGGCCUCUUCACAGGCUGUGGUACUGCAGUAGGCAGGAGAGUCCCAAGAGGUGGAUGGGGAAGCGGUCACCCACCUCAGAGGAGAAACCACCAGGCACAGAGACAGAGAAAUUUCUGAUCAUCUACCGUUUUAAUGCAAUCAGAGCCUUUGGGGUCAUAUCUCGGUUGAAGGUGGCACAGACAGCCAUGUCGGUGCUAGCCUUGCCACCAGGCUACUACUGGUACUCGCAGGGUCACUUGACUCUUAACUCACUGUGCCUAGCGACUGGGAUUGCUGGCUUCGCCCUGGCCAUGCUGUGCUGGAUGAGCUACUUUUUCCGGAGGCUGGUGGGCAUCCUGUAUGUGAACGAAUCCGGCACAGUGCUGCGAGUGUCUCACCUGUCCUUCUGGGGCUGGCGGCAGGACACAUACUGUCCUGUGCUGGAUGUGAUGCCCCUGACAGAAUCCAACCAGAGGCCCCAGGAUAUGUUGAUGUGCAUCCAGCAGUACACCGGGAAGCAGACUUUCUACCUCACUCUACCUUAUGGGCACAUUGUGGACAGAGAGCGAUUCACUCAGAUUUUUGGGGAAGUGGGCACACGUAAGUGAACAGCUGGGAGCUGGGGCACCACCUGGGUCUCUGACAGGAAGGCCAAAGGCAAGGGCAAAGCUGAAGCAGAGUGAUGUCAGGGGCCCUGGGAACUCAUCUUUUGGGAGAUUCGUGAGACAGAAGGUAAUAACCAGUUUUAGGAAAAAGAUGCCUGACAUUCAGGCAGAAGUUUCUGAAGAGGCAGUUCUUGGAUGAAGCUGUGCGGGGUUCACUGAGACCGCCACUGCUAUGAAAUUGGAAGGCAGAGGGUGUGGCAGGGAAGCAGAGGAACUGGAGUCAGGGGCCUUGGGUUCUGUCAGUUCUCAGCUCCGAGGCUUGGGCAGGGUAUGGUAUCUGAACCUUGGUUUUCUUAUCUGACAAAUGGAAAGUCCUGCAUGACAUGUGGUAUCACCGUGAAAAUAAACAAUGCAUGUCAGGCUGCCAUGUGGCUCAGUGGUGGAGUACUUGCCUCACGUGUGCAAGAUGUUAGGUUCCAUCCCAGCACUGCAAAACCCACAGUGACUGCCAGGGGCUUUGCACGAUCAGCAGCUCAGAACUGGGCAGAGAUGACAGCAUGGCGGGAGACUCAGGCUGAGAGCGGGGAUUUCCAGAGCCUGUGCUGUGCCCCGUUACAUACCCAGCAGCAGAAGGGACUGGGGUGAAGCUGGGGGUGGGCGCCUGUCAUUCUGCUGGGGUAGUCCCCACACCCACACACGGACUGGGGCGGGGACGUUCACGUGAGCACAGCCCUCCAGCUGAGAGCCCAGGCGAUCUUGCAUUGAAGGCUUUGCGGUAUAACCCAGGCGAACUCUAUGCCAGCGCAUCACCAAGUUAAAGAAGCUGUUGGCCACAGAAGCUCUUCCUCACGGGCUCUGCCUUAGCAGCCUGUCUACGGGGCUUCCCGUGUUUCCUCCAAUGUCUUCCAAGUUGCUGUAAUCUUGAGCUCUGCCAAAAUCCUUAUGUUGAAAUUCUAGCUAAACUAGUCCCCUAAAGAAGAUGUCUCAGGAACUCAUCAUGCCCUGAGUACACAAGAACUUGUUGGCAAAUGGCUUAAUUUUUUUUUUUUUUUUU